AACGUAGGUGGCGAGCGUUAUCCGGAUUUACUGGGCGUAAAGCGUGUGCAGGCGGUGGCUCAAGUGGUGUAUGAAAUCGCCCGGCUUAACCGGGCGGGGUUAGGCCAGACUGGGUCACUGGAGUGCGGGAGAGGGGCGUGGAAUUCCGGGUGUAGUGGUGAAAUGCGUAGAGAUCCGGAGGAACCCCAGAGGCGAAGGCGGCGCCCUGGCCCGACACUGACGCUCAGACACGACAGCAUGGGGAGCGAACGGG
rnacentral:rRNA from 1 species